CUCUCCCUCAUUCUCUCCUCACACGUUUUCUCCCCCUCUCCCACUCUUUCUCUCCAAAAAUCUUCCAUUCAAGCUUUAUUCUUGCAACCAUUGAAAUUAUUUUCAAGAGUCUCCGACGGAUCGCAUCGUUCUUUGCUCCUACCGUUUUAUUUUUGUCAAAGAAGGGUGUUGUGUAUUCGUGAACUCGAGGAUCGAGAGUUGCUAUAAGUUGGGUUGUGAAUUGCUAGGCGAACGAGGCUAUAUGGCUGUGUUGUGAAACGAAUUCUGGUCUGAGUAUGGCCGCUAACCCUAUCAGGCUGUGUACACUGGUGGGAUCGUGAGCCGUCCUUGCUAGUCGGCCGGUCUCGUGGGCGAAUAGUGUGGCCACACUUUCGUC